rnacentral:rRNA from 1 species
AGAGUUUGAUCCUGGCUCAGGACGAACGCUGGCGGCGUGCCUAAUACAUGCAAGUCGAGCGAGCUUGUCUAGAUGGUUUUAUUGCAUGCACUCCAUAAAACUUGAUACGAGCAAGGGGGAGACGGGUGAGUAACACCUGGGUCACCUGCCCGGAAAACUGGGAUAACUCCUGGAAACUAAUGCUUAUACCCGAUAACACCCCUGUACCCGUGUCUAGAGUUUGAGAGAUGGGUCUGCUAUCCCUCUUGGAUGGACCUGCUGGGCAGUUAUACUAGUUGGCCAGGGAACCGAUUACCAAGGCGAUGAUGCAGUGGCCGAGGUCACAUACUGAUCGACCACUUUGGGACAGACACGCGGGCCGCACUCCUGCGGGAUGUAGCACUAUGGAAUCAUCCACGAUGCACCAAAGUCUGAUGGAUCAACACCCCCUGAGUGAAGAAGGGUUUCGGCUCCUAGAACUCUGUUGGUAGUGAAUAACGAUAAAGGUACUGACUGGUCUUUAUUUGACGGCAAUUACUUACAAAGGGAGCGCUAACUACGUGCCAGCAGCCGCGGUAAUACGUAGGUGGCAAGCGUUAUCCGGAUUUAUUGGGUGUAAAGGGAGCGCAGGCGGUACGACAAGUCAGAUGUGAAAGCCCUGGGCUCAACCGUGGAAUUGCAUCAGAAACUGCCAUACUGGAGUGCAGGAGAGGUGAGUGGAAUUCCUUGUGUAGCGGUGAAAUGCGUAGAUAUUUGGAGGAACACCAGUGGCGAAGGCGGCUUUCUGGUCGGCAACUGACGCUGAGGCUCGAAAGCAUGGGUAGCAAACAGGAUUAGAUACCCUGGUAGUCCACGCUGUAAACG